AGAAUCAACGCUGGCGGCGUGCCUAACACAUGCAAGUCGAACGAGAAAGUGGGAGCAAUCCCAUGAGUAAAGUGGCGCACGGGUGAGUAACACGUGACUAACCUACCCUUGAGUGGGGGAUAACCUAGGGAAACCUGGGCUAAUACCGCAUAAUACCUACGGGUCAAAGGAGCAAUUCGCUUUAGGAGGGGGUCGCGGCAGAUUAGUUAGUUGGCGGGGUAAUGGCCCACCAAGACAGUGAUCUGUAUCCGGCCUGAGAGGGCGCACGGACACACUGGAACUGAAACACGGUCCAGACUCCUACGGGAGGCAGCAGUGGGAAUUUGCGCAAUGGGGGAAACCCUGACGCAGCAACGCCGCGUGGAGGAUGAAGCCCCUUGGGGCGUAAACUCCUUUCGAUCGGAAGAUAAUGACGGUACCGGAAGAAGAAGCCCGGCUAACUUCGUGCCAGCAGCCGC
rnacentral:rRNA from 1 species